rnacentral:rRNA from 1 species
AUUGAACGCUGGCGGCAUGCCUUACACAUGCAAGUCGAACGGUAACGGGCCUUCGGGUGCCGACGAGUGGCGAACGGGUGAGUAAUGCAUCGGAACGUACCUUUCAGUGGGGGAUAACGUAGCGAAAGUUACGCUAAUACCGCAUAUUCUGUGAGCAGGAAAGCAGGGGAUCGCAAGACCUUGCGCUGAUUGAGCGGCCGAUGUCAGAUUAGCUAGUUGGUGAGGUAAAGGCUCACCAAGGCGACGAUCUGUAGCGGGUCUGAGAGGAUGAUCCGCCACACUGGGACUGAGACACGGUCCAGACUCCUACGGGAGGCAGCAGUGGGGAAUUUUGGACAAUGGGGGCAACCCUGAUCCAGCCAUGCCGCGUGAGUGAAGAAGGCCUCGGGUUG